rnacentral:rRNA from 1 species
UACGGAGGGGGCGAGCGUUAUUCGGAAUUAUUGGGCGUAAAGGGCGCGUAGGCGGCUUGACAGGUCAAAGGUGAAAUCCCUCGGCUCAACCGAGGAAUUGCGCCCAAAACUGCCGCACUAGAGGAAGACAGAGGUACGCGGAACUUAGGGUGGAGCGGUGAAAUGCGUUGAUAUCCUAAGGAACACCGGUGGCGAAAGCGGCGUACUGGGUCUUAUCUGACGCUGAGGCACGAAAGCUAGGGGAGCGAACGGG